AAUUGACGGGGACCCGCACAAGCGGUGGAUGAUGUGGUUUAAUUCGAUGCAACGACGAAAAACCUCACCCACCUUUGACAUGUACGGAAUCCUUUAGAGAUAGAGGAGUGCUCGAAAGAGAGCCGUAACACAGGUGCUGCAUGGCUGUCGUCAGCUCGUGUCGUGAGAUGUUGGGUUAAGUCCCGCAACGAGCGCAACCCUUGUCAUUAGUUGCUACAUUCAGUUGGGCACUCUAAUGAGACUGCCGGUGACAAACCGGAGGAAGGUGGGGAUGACGUCAAGUCCUCAUGGCCCUUAUAGGUGGGGCUACACACGUCAUACAAUGGAUGGUACAAAGGGUCGCCAACCCGCGAGGGGGAGCCAAUCCCAUAAAGCCAUUCGUAGUCCGGAUCGCAGUCUGCAACUCGACUGCGUGAAGUCGGAAUCGCUAGUAAUCGUGGAUCAGAAUGUCACGGUGAAUACGUUCCCGGGUCUU
rnacentral:rRNA from 1 species